rnacentral:rRNA from 1 species
UACGUAGGGUGCAAGCGUUAAUCGGAAUUACUGGGCGUAAAGCGUGCGCAGGCGGUUUUGUAAGUCUGUCGUGAAAGCCCCCGGCUCAACUGGGGAGGGUCGUGCGAUACGGUCGGACUUGAGGCCAGUAGGGGGAUGCGGAAUUCCGGGUGUAGCGGUGGAAUGCGCAGAUAUCAGGAGGAACACCGGUGGCGAAGGCGAGUCUCUGGGCAGUAACUGACGCUGAGGAGCGAAAGCGUGGGGAGCGAACAGG